rnacentral:rRNA from 1 species
CACACCGCCCGUCGCACCAUGGGAGUUGGUUUGACCUGAAGACGGUGCGCUAACCCGCAAGGGAGGCAGCCGGCCACGGUCAGGUCAGCGACUGGGGUG